rnacentral:misc_RNA from 1 species
GAUGAAGAACGCAGCGAAAUGCGAUAAGUAAUGUGAAUUGCAGAAUUCAGUGAAUCAUCGAAUCUUUGAACGCACAUUGCGCCCCCUGGUAUUCCGGGGGGCAUGCCUGUCCGAGCGUCAUUGCUGCCCUCAAGCACGGCUUGUGUGUUGGGCCUCCGUCCUCCUCCCGGGGGACGGGCCCGAAAGGCAGCGGCGGCACCGCGUCCGGUCCUCGAGCGUAUGGGGGUUCGUCACCCGCUCUUGUAGGCCCGGCCGGCGCUUGCCGACACAUCAAUCUUUUUUCCAGGUUGACCUCGGAUCAGGUAGGGAUACCCGCUGAACUUAAGCAUAUCAAUAAGCGGAGGA